rnacentral:rRNA from 1 species
AGAGUUUGAUCAUGGCUCAGGAUGAACGCUGGCGGCGUGCCUAACACAUGCAAGUCGAACGGACUUACAUUGAAGCCUAGCGAUAUGUAAGUUAGUGGCGGACGGGUGAGUAACGCGUGGGUAACCUGCCUUGUACUGGGGGACAACAGUUGGAAACGACUGCUAAUACCGCAUAAGCGCACAGCUUCGCAUGAAGCAGUGUGAAAAACUCCGGUGGUACAAGAUGGACCCGCGUCUGAUUAGCUAGUUGGUGAGGUAACGGCCCACCAAGGCGACGAUCAGUAGCCGGCCUGAGAGGGUGAACGGCCACAUUGGGACUGAGACACGGCCCAAACUCCUACGGGAGGCAGCAGUGGGGAAUAUUGCACAAUGGGGGAAACCCUGAUGCAGCAACGCCGCGUGAGUGAAGAAGUAUUUCGGUAUGUAAAGCUCUAUCAGCAGGAAAGAAAAUGACGGUACCUGACUAAGAAGCCCCGGCUAACUACGUGCCAGCAGCCGCGGUAAUACGUAGGGGGCAAGCGUUAUCCGGAUUUACUGGGUGUAAAGGGAGCGUAGACGGUUUUGCAAGUCUGAAGUGAAAGCCCGGGGCUUAACCCCGGGACUGCUUUGGAAACUGUAGGACUAGAGUGCAGGAGAGGUAAGUGGAAUUCCUAGUGUAGCGGUGAAAUGCGUAGAUAUUAGGAGGAACACCAGUGGCGAAGGCGGCUUACUGGACUGUAACUGACGUUGAGGCUCGAAAGCGUGGGGAGCAAACAGGAUUAGAUACCCUGGUAGUCCACGCCGUAAACGAUGAUUACUAGGUGUUGGUGGGUAUGACCCAUCGGUGCCGCAGCAACGC